GAUAGGUCACAGAUGCUGGAAUGCUCUGUGGCUCAAAGCUCCGGCGCCUAAGGAUGGGUCUGCGUCCUAUCAGGUUUGUAUUGGGUGUAAUGUACCUACUACCCUACAACGGGUACGGGUUGUGAAACCAAAACCCCGGAAAUGGAUUCUAAAACACAAAUCCGGGCCCUACGGGGUGCAGCAGGCGCAAAAACUUUACAAUGCGGGAAACCGUGAUAAGGAAAUCUCGAGUGCCGGCAUAUAAUGUUGGUUGUCCAGAUGCCUAAAAACCAUCUGUUAGCAAGGGCCGGGCAAGACCGGUGCCAGCCGCCGCGGCAACACCGGCGGCCCGAGUGGUAAUUUCUUUUAUUGGGUCUAAAGGGUCUGUAGCCGGCCAUGUAAGUCCCUUGUGAAAUCUGGCAGCUCAACUGUCAGGCUGGUAUGGGAUACUGCUUGGCUUGGGACCGGGAGUGGUGAAAGUUACCUUGAGGGUAGGAGUGAAAUCUUGUGAUCCUCGGGGGACCACCCGUGGGGAUCGUAUCUCACCAGAUCGGGUCCUACGGUAAGGAACGUAGGCUAGGGGAACGAACCGGAUUACAUACCCGGGCAGUCCUAGACCUAUACGAUGCUCGCUAGGUGUCAAUCACGAUGCGAUCGUGAUUGGUGCCGUAGCGAAGCCAUGAAGCGAGCGGCCUGGGAAGUACCG
rnacentral:rRNA from 1 species